ACAUCAUUAAGAUAGAACACAAUAAAAAGUGGCAGGAUAAUUGGAAUAAGGAAACAAAAGGUAGAGAGUAUUACAAAGUCCAGAGGAGAGUAGGUGUAAUGAGAGGAGGCAAUAGAAAUAGGAAGGAAGAAGACAUUAUUACUAGAAUGAGAUUAGGACAUACAUAUCUAAAUAGUUCAUUGAAAUUGAUGGGGAAACAUGCUACAGGACUGUGUGAUUCUUGCCACCAGAUAGAAAAUGUAAGACAUGUUUUAAUACAUUGUAGAAAAUAUAAUAGAGAAAGGGAAAUACUGGGAAAUAAGUUAGCGAAAGAGAAUAUUAGGUUAGCAGUGGAAGAUAUAUUAGGAUUGCACUCAGAACACACAGGUUAUAAAGCAAUACACACAUUUUUUAAAAACACGGGGUUAAAUAAAAUAAUUUAGAGUAGGAAUCCACCUCGAUCCACACUCCAUUACAGUAGGUGGCGGUAAUGCUCACCACAAGGUUGCUUGCCAACCGCAUUAAAAUCACAACAAGAAGAAGAAGAAGGUGAUCGAGGCGGGACCGAAGAAAAGUGGAAAAAGAGUGUUAUUCGUCAAAAAACCCACACAACGACGGUCAUUUUUUUGCCGUGCUAUUGUAAAAUUGUAUUUUAUCUGUGAUUUGUGUUCUGGGGGACCCCGACUCCAGAAUUUGAAAGUUUCCCGCGUGAAGCCGGAACAUGGAGUUGGGAUUUGCAAUCUGAGGCAGAGAAUGAGGAGCUGCCAGAAAAAAGGAACAGGAAGCCAGUCCAUCGUCUCGGGGACUCGGAUGAUAGCGAAGAAGACCCGGGGAAUGGUGACCUCGCAUCUCUGGGGUUGGCAAGCCAAUUGCACAGGCAUUCUCCACCGUCUCGCCGAGUGCCAGCAAGAGUCAUGAGUACUUGUCAACUCGACUCCUCAACUGGAGAUAACUUUCUAGCACCUCACCAUGGGGAAGGACGUAUUCAUAUGCCUUCACCAGCACCUGCAUUAAACAUGCAGAGAGUUACACAAGUUCUUACCACCUUGGGGCACCAUUCAGCAUGUCUUCUAAAUCGAUAUCUUACGACUGGCAUCGAUGUGGAUGAGUUUGACAAUCUAUGCAACUCUGAUAUUGAUUAGGAUGAUGUGACGUGGUAUCCACAAUUGACACAGCAUCCGAGUCUGACUCUGAAGAGUAUUUCACCCUUGAAAAGGACAAAGACCAGGAUGAUAGUGAUGAUGACCCCUUUCCGUCAAUUUGUGUAUGGAGUGAUGGUGCUCUGAAGAAUAUAACAUUGGAUGCACUACCCAUAAUUUGUAUGAAAGAAGUAGUGCAUGGUAUUUGUGAUGACACUGAUAUACCAGAUGACACAAAAGAAGGAAAAUCGAAAUGUUUGAUUCAUCUCAACCAAUAAGUGUACAACAGUCACCGAAACCAACCACUCAAGAAGGUGCCAGAAGGUUUACAAUAAAAACAAUUCUAAGAUGUGGAGCAUGUAAAAGAAAGGAAAGAUUACCACUACAUACCUGACCUUUAAAGGGCGAUUAUACGAAAUAGACUUUCAUCUUCUGAAGGAUUAUUUAGGAUGACAACUAAAAUGCCUGAUGACCCCUGUCGCUUUGGUGUUCUCUCUGGUACAGCAGCCCAACUACAGAAUAACUCAUGCAAAGGCAACGCAGAAAAGGAAUUGGUUAGUGCUUGAUUGAUAGAGAUGGGAAUCUUUGGGCACCUCAAAAUUUGAUUAUGAUACAGAAGCUAUGAUUUGACUACAAAUCAAUUAUUGAUGUAUCUUUAAUUUAUGUAAUUUAUAUUGAUGCAUUUUUACAUUUCUUUUCGUUUCACAAAAUAGGCAUUCUUCACUUGCAACUUUUAAAAACAGAGAAACGAGAAACAGUUGAUUUACAUUUACUAAAUUCAUGAAAAUGUGUGCAAAACUGGAUCAUAGGUGCCCUAAAAUAAAGGAGCUGGUCGGAACUCUCGUCGCUGCGGUCAGCCAAAUUUUAGGACUGGCUGCAUUACUUUAUUUACAACAAAUAAAUAAUUGAUUUUUGACGUUUACUAAUCGAUUCUACAAUCGCCCACAUUUGAAUUGCGAUUAAUCAAAAAAUCGAUUAUUUCCCCUAGCUCUAUAACUUUAAAUAUGUGGUAUAUCUUUAAUAUUUUUGAUAUAAAAAAAAAAUAAAAAAAAUGUGUAAAUAACCACAAAUUUGCAGUCCUUAGUCUGUGCUCUUUUACAGGUGAACCUCUAUAAAGGGAGUACCGGUACAUCAAAACAUCAAGGAUCCAUCCACCAAUCCAUUCUUAGGGUCUCGGGUGGCUGGAGCCUAUUCCAGCUGCACUCGGGUGUAAGGCGGCGUUCACCGCUGGACAAGUCGCCACCUCAUUGCAAGAUGCCAAUUAUUGCUAGUGCAGGGCGAAGCAACAGUGCUCACCAGCAGCCAUAGCGGCUGAGGCAAGAACUGGAUUGUACGUCUUGAGUCUUGACUGACACUAAUGAUUGUGAAAGCUGUAUCUUUUUCAAUUUCGCCUCCAGUAUUUGCUCCCACGUUUUUUGUACUAGUUAUGUUUUUUGCUGUUUGCUAUUUGAUUUGCUUUCAUGCUACGUCACCUUUUUAUUAGUUGUUUUAGAAUGACUACUUUUGUGUUGUACUUUGUGCUUUUCAUAUUGCCGCCAUUCUAGAUUUAAUUGGCCACACUCCACAAGCAGCUGAUGAAAUCCUUCAAUGAGGUUUGGUCAACUGAAAAAACUUUUUAAUCAGAAAGCAACAGCAGAACCAGAUUCUGUAUCAAUAUAGAAUGGAAUGGAAUGAUCUUGUACAACAUUUUGUUUUCAGCACAAGCCUGUUCAAGAUGAGACAAACAAACAUUGCACAGAGUCAGCAAAUCAUCAAAGUACAGUUUAUUAGAAAUAUCUACAUGUGCAGCAGGAUUCAAAACUCGUGACAAAUCGAAUAUCGUAGUGUUUCAAAACUCUAUAAAGUAUGUGUGUGUGUAUAAUAUAUGCUUUUUUGAUUAUAAGUAGAGACAAGGGACACUGUCGAAAUAAAGAAUGGAAAAAAGGCAUUCAAUGUGUCACUUCAAUUGAAUAAAAAUAAAAGUAUAUUUAUAUACACAAAUAUGUUGGUCGCUCAUUUCUUACAUUUAUAUAUAUAUAUAUACCGUAUUUUCCGCACCAUAAGGCGCCCCGUGUUAUUAGCCGCACGUUUAAUGAACGGCAUAUUUCAAAACUUUGUUUACCUAUUAGCCGCCCCGUGCUAUUAGCCGCACCUACGCUACGCUAAAGGGAAUGUCAACAAAACAAUCAGAUAGGUCAGUCAAACUUUAAUAAUAUAUUACAAACCAGCGUUCUAACAACUCUGUUCACUCCCAAAAUGUAAUGUGCAAAUGUGCAAUCACAAAAAUAGUAACACUCAAAAUAGUGCAGAGCAAUAGCAACAUCAAUAACUCAACGUUGCUCAUACGUUAGUGUCACACAACACACAAAAUAAACAUUUAAAGCUCACUUUCUGAAGUUAUUACUCAUCCACAAAUCCCUCGAAUUCUUCUUCUUCGGUGUGCUUCACUUGUUUUUUGACACCAUCUGUGAUGUGGACGCGCAUGCAGUCGUAGAUCAACAGGGACGGCGCUGCGUGAAAAAAGUCACCCGGUGUCUUCGCGUAAACGUCUAUCAACCACUCGCUCAUCUUUUCUUCAUCCAUCCACCCCUUCGAGUUAGCUUUUAUGAUGACGCCGGCUGGAAAGUUCUCUUUUGGCAAGGUCUUCCUUUUGAAUGUCAC